GAUGAACGCUAGCGACAGGCCUAACACAUGCAAGUCGAGGGGCAGCACAUGAGUAGCAAUACGAUGGUGGCGACCGGCGCACGGGUGAGUAACACGUAUGCAACCUACCGGUAAAAGGGGGAUAGCCUCUCGAAAGAGAGAUUAAUACCGCAUCAUAUCUCUGGAUGGCAUCAUUUAGAGAUUAAACAUUUAUGGUUUACCGAUGGGCAUGCGUAUGAUUAGCUAGUAGGUGAGGUAACGGCUCACCUAGGCAACGAUCAUUAGGGGUUCUGGGAGGAAGGUCCCCCACACGGGUACUGAGACACGGACCAGACUCCUACGGGAGGCAGCAGUGAGGAAUAUUGGUCAAUGGGCGAGAGCCUGAACCAGCCAAGUCGCGUGAAGGAUGAAGGUUUUAUGGAUUGUAAACUUCUUUUGUAAGGGAAUAAAAAGAGCUACGUGUAGUUUAUUGUAUGUACUUUACGAAUAAGGAUCGGCUAACUCCGUGCCAGCAGCCGCCGUAA
rnacentral:rRNA from 1 species